GAGUUUGAUCUUGGCUCAGAUUGAACGCUGGCGGCAGGCCUAACACAUGCAAGUCGAGCGGAUGACGGGAGCUUGCUCCUUGAUUCAGCGGCGGACGGGUGAGUAAUGCCUAGGAAUCUGCCUGGUAGUGGGGGACAACGUUUCGAAAGGAACGCUAAUACCGCAUACGUCCUACGGGAGAAAGCAGGGGACCUUCGGGCCUUGCGCUAUCAGAUGAGCCUAGGUCGGAUUAGCUAGUUGGUGGGGUAAUGGCUCACCAAGGCGACGAUCCGUAACUGGUCUGAGAGGAUGAUCAGUCACACUGGAACUGAGACACGGUCCAGACUCCUACGGGAGGCAGCAGUGGGGAAUAUUGGACAAUGGGCGAAAGCCUGAUCCAGCCAUGCCGCGUGUGUGAAGAAGGUCUUCGGAUUGUAAAGCACUUUAAGUUGGGUAGGAAGGGCAGUAAGUUAAUACCUUGCUGUUUUGACGUUUACCGACAGAAUAAGCACCGGCUAACUCUGUGCCAGCCGCCG
rnacentral:rRNA from 1 species